rnacentral:rRNA from 1 species
AUUGAACGCUGGCGGCAGGCCUAACUCAUGCAAGUCGAGCGGAUGAGAGGAGCUUGCUUCUCGAUUCAGCGGCGGACGGGUGAGUAAUGCCUAGGAAUCUGCCUGUAGUGGGGGACAACGUUUCGAAAGGAACGCUAAUACCGCAUACGUCCUACGGGAGAAAGCAGGGGACCUUCGGGCCUUGCGCUAUCAGAUGAGCCUAGGUCGGAUUAGCUGGUUGGUGAGGUAAUGGCUCACCAAGGCGACGAUCCGUAACUGGUCUGAGAGGAUGAUCAGUCACACUGGAACUGAGACACGGUCCAGACUCCUACGGGAGGCAGCAGUGGGGAAUAUUGGACAAUGGGCGAAAGCCUGAUCCAGCCAUGCCGCGUGUGUGAAGAAGGUCUUCGGAUUGUAAAGCACUUUAAGUUGGGAGGAAGGGUUGUAGAUUAAUACUCUGCAAUUUUGACGUUACCGACAGAAUAAGCACCGGCUAACUCUGUGCCAGCAGCCGCCGUAAGAC